UACGUAGGGGGCAAGCGUUUGUCCGGAUUUAUUGGGCGUAAGGAGCUCGUAGGCGGUCUGUUGCGUCCGCUGUGAAAACCCAGGGCUUAACCCUGGGCUGGCAGUGGAUACGGGCAGACUAGAGGUAGGUAGGGGAGAAUGGAAUUCCCGGUGUAGCGGUGAAAUGCGCAGAUAUCGGGAGGAACACCAAUGGCGAAGGCAGCUCGCUGGGACGUGACUGACGCUGAGACGCGAAAGCGUGGGGAGCAAACAGGG
rnacentral:rRNA from 1 species